rnacentral:rRNA from 1 species
AAUAGAUACCCUGGUAGUCCACGCCCUAAACGAUGUCAACUGGGUGUUGGGGAAGCGAUUCCUUGGUACCGUAGCUAACGCGUGAAGUUGACCGCCUGGGGAGUACGGCCGCAAGGUUAAAACUCAAAGGAAUUGACGGGGACCCGCACAAGCGGUGGAUGAUGUGGAUUAAUUCGAUGCAACGCGAACAACCUUACCUACCCUUGACAUGUCUGGAAGCCUGGUGAGAGCUGGGUGUGCCCGAAAGGGAACCGGAACACAGGUGCUGCAUGGCUGUCGUCAGCUCGUGUCGUGAGAUGUUGGGUUAAGUCCCGCAACGAGCGCAACCCUUGUCCCUAGUUGCUACGCAAGGGCACUCUAGGGAGACUGCCGGUGACAAACCGGAGGAAGGUGGGGAUGACGUCAAGUCCUCAUGGCCCUUAUGGGUAGGGCUUCACACGUCAUACAAUGGCCGGUACAGAGGGUUGCCAAAGCGCGAGCUGGAGCCAAUCCCAGAAAGCCGGUCGUAGUCCGGAUUGCAGUCUGCAACUCGACUGC